rnacentral:tRNA from 1 species
GCGGAAAGGGACUGCUCAGCGAGCACGGCAGAGAGAACUUAAAAACCGCUAUGGGGUCAAACCCAUCGUGGGUUCGAAUCCCACGCCCUCCGCU